rnacentral:rRNA from 1 species
CGUGUAGGCUGAUAUUUUAGUCGAUUGUGAAAUCCCUGGGCUUAACCUAGGAAUUGCAGUCGAUACUGGAUAUCUGGAGUAUGGUAGAGGAAAGUGGAAUUCUCGGUGUAGUGGUUAAAUACGUAGAUAUCGAGAAGAACACCGGUGGCGAAGGCGGCUUUCUGGACCAAUACUGACGCUGAGGCGCGAAAGCGUGGGGAGCAAACAGGAUUAGAUACCCUGGUAGUCCACGCUGUAAACGAUGAGAACUAGAUGUUGCGCAGCACUAUGUGCUGCUCAGUAUCGUAGCUAACGCGCUAAGUUCUCCGCCUGGGGAGUACGGUCGCAAGAUUAAA